UCAACCUUGCUACCAGUGCACCUCCCCAGUACCCAGUCUCUCCGCCAUCUCCUGCAGGUGCAGACCCUGGCCUAGACCUAUCAUCUAUUAAUCCAGAAGCAAAGCUUCCUGGUGAUGAUGAAGCCUGCCAUAGGACAGGAUGAAGAAACAGCAAGAAGUAUCCAGAAGGUGGCACCUUUUGCAGGGACACCGGCUGGGCCGCAGCAGCAAGCUGAGGAAAUGGCCCUGUGCUAACAUACAAGGAACCUAACAGAAUACCCGGUGCCACAUGGCACCUUAUCUUGGGCUCAUGGUGCCUUACAGGAUUUGCAGAAAUGCUGUGGAACUACAGUCUGCCAACUGCUGAUGUGUUGCUUCCUAGAAGGAAGUUUCUUUCCAUGAAUGCAAGAGCUUCAGAUCCAUGUGAUUUGAACCAUGUGAGCUCCAGCCUUCCCCUCUGUCUCCCAGCUCUGUCAAGACUCCAAGAGACCCACGUGUAGACACACAGGGGUCACCACAUAUGGCUGCUGUCACGAGCAAUAUCCAGUUCUUCCUGGUCUUUCCUCCCCUCACUGGGCUAGGGUUGAGCGGCCCCCAGAGCAGGGGGCACAGGCCAGAGACCCACCUAAGCGCAGGAUGGAGAAGAAGAGCAUCCAGAAGAGACAGAGGAGUGGUGCGAAGGUAGCCUCGUGGACGGCAGCCAUGUGGAUCUGUUCGUUGAGCUUGGUGGGGGCAUAGGAGUAGUACAUGUUAUAGCGGUCCGUGAGGUGCUUCAUGCAAAGGUACAGCAGACC